rnacentral:sRNA from 1 species
AGACGAUCCGUGACGCAUAAAAAAACGCCGAAAAUACAGUCAAGAUAACCUUGAAAACGUGAGGGAUGACCUCAUUUAAUCUCCAGUAGCAAUUUUGACCUGUAUUGGAGGAGUUAUGCGUCUGGAUCGUCUUAC